rnacentral:rRNA from 1 species
UACAGAGGGGGCAAGCGUUGUUCGGAAUUACUGGGCGAAAGCGCGUGUAGGCGGUCCGGUAAGUCCGCUGUGAAAGUCGGGGGCUCAACCCUCGGAUGCCGGUGGAUACUGCCGGGCUAGAGUCCGGAAGAGGCGAGUGGAACUCCUGGUGUAGCGGUGGAAUGCGCAGAUAUCAGGAAGAACACCAACGGCGAAGGCAGCUCGCUAGGACGGUACUGACGCUGAGACGCGAAAGCGUGGGGAGCGAC